rnacentral:lncRNA from 1 species
CCACCUACAAUAUAAUAUAAUGUGACAAUCAGAGACGAAUUAAAGAUUUAGGAUUUGUUGUGGAUGACAAAAAUAAUUUUGACGCUUAUCAUAGGUGAAUUCAAGAUUUAGGGUUUGUUUAUUAUGACUUGGCACUAAUCAGAGACGAAUUAAAGAUUUAGGGUUUGUUGUGGAUGACAGAAGUAAUUUUGACGCUUAUCAUAGGCGAAUUCAAGAUUUAGGGUUUGUUUAUUAUGACUUGACACUAAUCAGAGACGAAUUAAAGAUUUAGGGUUUGCUGUGGAUGACAGAAGUAAUUUUGGCGCUUAUCAUAGGUGAAUUCAAGAUUUAGGAUUUGUUUAUUA